GGAUUGUGGCUCAGUGGUAGAGAGCUCGCCUGGCAUGCGUGGGGCCCUGGGUGUUCGAUCCUCAGCAUCA
rnacentral:tRNA from 1 species